rnacentral:lncRNA from 1 species
AAGACGCGAUUGGUCCGCGGAAUCGGAGAGGCGGAAAACCCGGGCUGGAUUUCUGGUUGCUUUUGUUCCCGCAAAUUUGCGUGGAGCAUUGUUUUUCGGCGAAAACGGGGCGUUCGGCCUUCCUGCUUUAUUUUUGAGCGGUGUAAGAGGGAGGUAGUGGGUAUCUUCGAGAAACGGCCGCCGCGGGGUCCGGAGCCCCGGGUUCCAAUCCCGGGUCGGCCACUGCAAAGCUGUGUGACCUUGGGCGAGUCACUUGGCCUCUCUGAGCCCCAGGCGCCUCCCCGGGAAAAAGAGGGAUAUGGUCCAAGGUGCUGAAAACUUCCUAACAAAACUCUUCAGCCGAAUCUGGCACGCCUGUGGUUCCAGCUACUGGGUAGACCGAGGCAGGAGGAUCGCUUGAGGCCAAGAGUUUAAGACCAACCUGGGCAACAUGAUACAGAAAAGAACACAUAGAGACUUCGGGGGAAAGGAGACUAUGUGCAAGAAUGGCAGAGAUUGGAGCCAAGGAGUGCCUGGGCCUACCAGAGGCUGCAAGAGACAGGGAGGACCCUCCCCUAGAGCCUCCAGAGGGAACAGAGCCAUGCCCACACCUUGACUUUGGACUCCUGGCCUCCAGAACUGUGAGAGGACCUAGGACCCCACGAGAGGAGGGAUCUGGAGGCCAAGCCAGGAGCAGGACAACACCAACAGAGGCCUCAGAAGAAGACUCAGAGUGGGACAGGGGCUCCUUAAGUGAUUGGGGCUGGAAGUGCGCAGAGAAGCCCGGCGCGGCAGGGAAUUGUCUCUCCCUGGGGUGCUGCCAAGGGUCUCCCUCUGUCACCCAGGCUGGAAUGCAGUGGCGCGAUCUCAGCUCUCUGAAACCUCUACCUCCUGGUUCAAGCGAUUCUCCUGCCUCGGCCUCCCGAGUAGCUGGUAUUACAGGCACGCACCACCAUGCCUGGCUAAUUUUCUAUAUUUUUAGUAGAGAUGGGGUUUCAUCAUGUUAGCCAGGCUGGUCUCCAACUCCUGACCUCAAGCCAUACACUGGCCUCCGCCUCCCUAAGUGCUGGGAUGACAGGUAUGAGCCACCGUGCCUGGCCAGGAAUUUGCAUGUUUGCUAGUAACCCUGCUCAUCUCAGUGCACACCAAAGUUUGAAACCACUGUUGGGGUGUGGAGCUCUUGCUUCCAGACUUCCAGGGCCUAUGGAUUGAACAACGGCAGCCACAGUAGUAAUUAGAAUUUUCAGUCUCAACCACAAGCCUGCCACGCAACAAGGGUUUCCUCCCGUUUUACAGAUGAGGGACCUGAGGCUUCAUAAGGCUGUUAUUGACCUGAGGUCGCACAGCUGAUGGCUCCUGGGUUCUUAGCGUUAAGUUUUGCGGCCUUAUUUCUGUUGUAUAUUUGUUUCUCGUAUUUCUGUGCUUCUUGCACUGCAAUUGUGAUAUCCUCUAAAAGCCAAGGAUGAACUCACUGCUGACCUUGGUUUUAUUUGUUUGUUUGUUUUCACCUUCACUUGUGAAAUGUGCAAACAUACUCAAAAGUCAAGAGAAUCAUAUGGUGAUUUUUCAUAGUCCCCUUUGGCCAGCUUCAGCAAAGAUGACAUUUUGCCACUCUUACUCCAUCCAUUUCUCUCACCCCACCCCCGACAUACACACAUGUUCUUUCUGGAGUAUUUUCAAGCAAAUACAGGAUUUUUAAAAACAUGUAAAUGACUGUGUUGUUUUGUCUGAUUAUGAUGCAAUACAUGUUCCUUAUGAACAUAUUAUAACUCGCUAAAAAACAAUAUAAAAAGCUACAAAUCAUCUCACUUCCCAGUCAUAACCAACUCUAAAAGAUACUCUUCUAGACACUUUUGUAUUCAAAUAUAUUUAUGCACACAUACUUUUACAAAAAAAAAGUAUACGACACAAAAAUAGGAUGGUACUCCACAUUUUGCAAUCUAUUUUUUUCACUUAACAAUACAUCCCAAAUGUCUUUUCAUAUCCAUGACUCUAUUCUAAAUCAUGGCUCUUAAGGGCAACACAAAUCUUUGUUUGAUUUAGCAUGAUUUAUUCAAAGAAUCCCCUCUAGUUGGGCAUUCAGGUUGUUUCUAUGCUGAGAGAGUUUCCAAAGGCAGUCCUGCUUACCCUGGACUUUUCAAGAGGUUGACACCCGAUCUGUCGCCUCUAGAUCCUGUGUAGAGUUCAGAGAAGUAUCAAGAAAGUGGAAGAACUGGAGAGCUUCCCAAUGCCAUCUGAAUCAUCUUCACGUUACCAUCACUGUUUUGUUUGAAAUGAAGUCUCAAGACAUGAGACACUCCCAGACUCAAGUGUGGUUAAAAAAAACAUUCCAAAGGCAUAUAACAUAUUGUUUGGGUGAUGAGGUGUAACUCUAAAAGCUCUGUUUUUGAACAAACAUACCAGGGCUCACCCAAACCCAAAACUCUGUCUCCUUCAAAGUCGUCACUCUAGAAGGCAGUACUCACACUGGGAUAAAACUGUAAUUGCUUGAAAAUACAUCUGUGAAUUCCUCUUUUAAAACUGUUUCAGGAUCUGGUGUCAGUAACUUUGGGACGUACUGCAGGCUGGAAAGCCUUCACGAUUCAAGGUGGAUUGAUUUCUAUAAAUAGCCUGUGCCCACCAAAUAAAUUAGAAACAACAGAAUCUAUGAUGUCUAGCUUGAGCAGAAACAGAUUUAUUAAAUUAUAACGACAUCUCAAAGUCUCUGGAAGGGAGAGAGAACUAGGUGGGGAUGCCAUUUUUUGUAUCUUGUUCAAUAAGAUGCCUGUUUUUGCCCGUUUUCUAUCAGGUUUUUGGUCUAUGUUUCUCUCCAUUUUUAAGAGCUUUUAUUGCGCGGGUGUGGCAGUGCAUGAAUCCCAGCACUUUGGGAGGCCGAGCUGGGCAGAUCACUUGAGGCUGGGAGUUCAAGACCAACCUGGCCAGCAUUGUGAAACCCCCGUCCCUACUAAAAAUACAAAAACUAGUUUGGUGUGGUGGUGGGCACCUGUAAUUCCAGCUACUUGGGAGUUUGGGGCAGGAGAAUCGCUUGAACCUGGGAAGCGGAGGUUGCAGUGAGCUGAGAUCACGCCACUGCACUCCAGCCUGGGUGACAGAGCAAGACUUCAUCUCCAGCCUGGGUGACAGAGCAAGACUUCGUCUCAAAAAAGCAAAACAAAACAAAAACAACAAAAACUAAAUAAAUAAAUAAAUGAGUUUGAGGGCCAUGCAAAAAAUAAAUGAGUGACACUGGAUGGUAUGAUAAAAUAGGGGGUGGUAAGGCUUGUGGCCAGUCAGAGAUUAAAACUACUUGUUGUUUGUUUGUUUAAGAGACAGGGUUGCCGGGCGCGGUGGCUCACGCCUGUAAUCCCAGCACUUUGGGAGGCAGAGGCGGGCAGAUCACUAGGUCAGGAGAUCGAGACCAUCCUGGCUAACACAGUGAAACCCCAUCUCUACUAAAAAUACAAAAAAUUAGAAGGGCGUGGUGGCAGGCGCCUGUAGUCCCAGCUACUCGAGGGGCU